rnacentral:rRNA from 1 species
GAUGAACGCUGGCGGCGUGCCUAAUACAUGCAAGUCGAGCGAAUGGAUUAAGAGCUUGCUCUUAUGAAGUUAGCGGCGGACGGGUGAGUAACACGUGGGUAACCUGCCCAUAAGACUGGGAUAACUCCGGGAAACCGGGGCUAAUACCGGAUAACAUUUUGAACCGCAUGGUUCGAAGUUGAAAGGCGGCUUCGGCUGUCACUUAUGGAUGGACCCGCGUCGCAUUAGCUAGUUGGUGAGGUAACGGCUCACCAAGGCAACGAUGCGUAGCCGACCUGGGAGGGGGAUCGGCCACACUGGGACUGAGACACGGCCCAGACUCCUACGGGAGGCAGCAGUAGGGAAUCUUCCGCAAUGGACGAAAGUCUGACGGAGCAACGCCGCGUGAGUGAUGAAGGCUUUCGGGUCGUAAAACUCUGUUGUUAGGGAAGAACAAGUGCUAGUUGAAUAAGCUGGCACCUUGACGGUACCUAACCAGAAAGCCACGGCUAACUACGUGCCAGCCGCCGCUGUAA